rnacentral:rRNA from 1 species
UACGUAGGGUGCAAGCGUUAAUCGGAAUUACUGGGCGUAAAGCGUGCGCAGGCGGUUUUGUAAGUCUGUCGUGAAAUCCCCGGGCUCAACCUGGGAAUUGCGAUGGAGACUGCAAGGCUAGAAUCUGGCAGAGGGGGGUAGAAUUCCACCUGUAGCAGUGAAAUGCGUAGAGAUGUGGAGGAACACCGAUGGCGAAGGCAGCCCCCUGGGUCAAGAUUGACGCUCAUGCACGAAAGCGUGGGGAGCAAACAGG